CUACGGGUCGCUGCAGUGAGGAAUUUUGCGCAAUGGGGGGAACCCUGACGCAGCAACGCCGCGUGAGUGAAGAAGGCCUUUGGGUCGUAAAGCUCUGUCAAUUGGGAAGAAGUUACAAGUGUUUAAUAGAUGCUUGUAUUGACGGUACCAAUGGAGGAAGCGCCGGCUAACUCCGUGCCAGCAGCCGCGGUAACACGGGGGGCGCAAGCGUUAUUCGGAAUUAUUGGGCGUAAAGGGCGCGUAGGCGGUCUUAUCGGUCAGAUGUGAAAGCCCGGGGCUCAACCCCGGACGUGCAUUUGGAACAGUAAGACUUGAGUACGGGAGAGGAAAGCAGAAUUCCUGGUGUAGAGGUGAAAUUCGUAGAUAUCAGGAGGAACACCGAUGGCGAAGGCAGCUUUCUGGACCGAUACUGACGCUGAGGCGCGAAGGCGUGGGUAGCGAACGGGAUUAGAUACCCGAGUAGUC
rnacentral:rRNA from 1 species